rnacentral:sRNA from 1 species
ACUAAGCCGAAGCUUGUACACCAAGCACGGGGGACCCAUUUACCGGGGUGAAGCCACUAUUCUUUGGCAGGGUGAUUGCCUCUUUGACCCUAAUCCGACAGCUAACCUCGCAGGCUAUGAAAAGGAG